rnacentral:misc_RNA from 1 species
UUUUUAUUUUAUACUUUAAACCUUGAAUUUAUUUUUUAAAUGUUUAUAUUAUUUGAAUAAAACAUUCAAAUAAUAUAAAAAAUAAUAUGUAUAUUGACAUGGAUUAAACAAAGAUACAUAUUAUUCUAUGUUGUAUGAACAAAUUGGCAAAAUAGAGAUGGAAGAUAAAAAUA